rnacentral:tRNA from 1 species
GCCCCCGUAGCUCAGCAGGAUAGAGCAACGGAUUCCUAAUCCGUAGGUCGCUGGUUCGAAUCCAGUCGGGGGUACCA